ensembl:lncRNA
GUUUGACUCAUUAGAUUCAAAUACUUAGGCAUGUAUGACCAGCAAAGAAAGAAUAAUACAGCAAGACAAAAUGAGGCAUCCCUGUCUCCCAGCUGAGUCCACUCCUCUAUUUCUCUAGUGUUUGCUCACUAGUAUUUUUUUCUUUUUUCACAUUCUGCAGGCAUGACCUUGAUUGCAACUUGCAGCAGGGACACUGAUGACCACUUCCAUCCAUUCCUACGCACUGUUUACACCCUGACAGCUGCAAUAUGCAAUACUAAAGCUAGAGGCUGCUGCCAUGAUCUGUUUCCUUUAGGUAACUACAGAAUGAAAUGAAAAGAGAAAAAUCUCAAAGAUGGCACAAAAGCCUGCAGCCACAUCUGAUUCCUGUACUCAUUUUAAAUUGUGGUUUACCGGAGGAGGAGAUGUCAAGAACUUCAUGGUCUAAAGGAGUAGAAUGCAACAAUGUCUGCCCAACACCGAGGAGCGCGUGCAUGCUUAAACGCAUAUUUAUAGAGCUACGUGUGCAUUUAAAGGCUAUGAAAGAUGACAGCAACAAUUUUUCAGCUAGAAGGACAGUCACUGCUUGCAGUGGAAGACUGGCCUACAUCAAGCCAAAGACUGCAGACAACUGAUACAAACUUUGCUGGUCCCAGUUGAGUCAUUUACUGUCUCUGAACUCCACGUGCCUUUUACAGAAAGUGAGGAUUGCACUGACUUGCAGGCUAGGGCAGUUGUGAUGAGUAAUUAGCUCAUGACUUGGAAGACCUUAAAUGAUGAAAGUGGCACGUCAGGGAUACGAACUAUUAUUACAAAGGAUGGAGAAGUCCAUGCUUGAGCAGCUUCACAGUAGGAUCCCCAUUGCUGUACAAAGGUAGGGUAAGAAGGGCUGCUCUGUUUUCUAGCUUCUUUUCUCUGAGCUUUUCAUGUGGGAUACCAUCUCAUCUAUCAGGUAACAUUUCAUUAUCUUUCACGGUAACGCUUGAGUCGUAUAUCAUAUUUUCUAAUUUCUUUUUUUGCAAGCCUAGCGCAAUAUCAAUAACGUUACCUUUCACAAUACUGCUUUCAGCACUGGCUAUACAGUGCCGCAUCUUUCACAUGUUUUUUGCCGUUUAUCAAAAUGAAACAUGACAGCAGCUGGAAAUGAUGCUCACAUUUAGUACUUAAUGAUACAUCUGCUUCCUAUCAUGCAAAAAUUCUGAUGCUUUGCUAAACAGAUAUUUUGUUUAGCAACAACCUGUGUGCCAAACUGAAGGUUCAUUAGCUUACGCCUAUCAGCAAGUGAAUCCAGUGUAAUGAGGAGUUGAGUCUACAGGCUACAAUGGCUUAGUUAUUCCACUUUAAAAAAUAGAGUUGACAAAUACUGGAGUUAACGCUGUGCAGACUUCUGAGAAAUACCAAUUUUAAAAUGUGAAAUGCCAUCAAGUACUGUUCCUACUUUCUGUUCAAAGGGUAAACAUGGGAGUCUGCCUACGUAGAGGAGCUCAUCCCGGAAGCUGCCGUUAUUGGAAUAGAAAAAAUGUAUGAGAAAAGUAAUAAUAAGCUAUUUUUUCUUUGUCUUCUGGUGUAAUUUAUAAGCCAUUAGAACCCAUUCAAAAUUGCACAGGAUUCCAGGCGAGAGAGCACAGCAAAGAA